ensembl:snRNA U6 U6 spliceosomal RNA
GUUUCCUUCGGCAGCACAUAUACUAAAAUUGGAACUGUACAGAGAAGAUUAGCCUGGCCCUUGCACGAGGAUGACAUGCAGAUUUGUGAAGUGUUCCAUAUUUUU